rnacentral:SRP_RNA from 1 species
UGGCAGGCUAGGUGGGUGGUUAGCCGUCACCUAUAUCACAAAUCGGCUAUAUGGUGAACUGACGCUUGAGAGCGGUAUUAGUAGUGAUAGUAGUCUCAUGCUGGACGUUGAGGAUCUGUCCUGCAGGGUUGGUAUUAUUGUGAAUCGAGUCAGGGCAGGAAUGCAGCAGCUCUAAUCAAUAAUGUUGGCGCUUGUGGGGUUGCGGGUCUGAGGAAAGUUUGAGGUCAACUGCUAUUGUUGCUGGUAUCCAUCUCAGGCUGCCUGCCA